rnacentral:rRNA from 1 species
GACGAACGCUGGCGGCGUGCUUAACACAUGCAAGUCGGACGGAAAGGCCCUGCUUUUGUGGGGUGCUCGAGUGGCGAACGGGUGAGUAACACGUGAGUAGCCUGCCCUUAACAUUGGGAUAUAUUCAGGAAACUGGGGCUAAUGCCGGAUAGGAGCUCCUGCUUCAUAGUGUAGGUGGGAAAGUUUCGGCGGUGGGGGAUGUACUGGCGGUUUAUCGGCUUGCUGGUGGGGUGGUGGCUAACCAGGGCUUGGACGGGUAGCCGGCCUGGGAGGGUGGGGCGCCCGAUGGGGAUGGAGAUACGGCCCAGACUCGUACGGGAGGCAGGGGAGGGGAAUAUUGCACAGUGGGCGGAGGCCUGAUGCAGCAACGCCGCGUGCGGGAAGACGGCCUUCGGGUUGUAAACCGCUUUCGCCUGUGACGAAGCGUGAGGGACGGUAAUGGGGAAAGAAGCACCGGCUAACUACGG